UACGUAGGGAGCAAGCGUUGUCCGGAAUCAUUGGGCGUAAAGCGCGCGUAGGUGGCUUCGUAAGUCCGUUGUGAAAGUCAAAGGCUCAACCUUUGAAAGCCGAUGGAUACUGUGGAGCUAGAGUCCGGAAGAGGAGAGUGGAAUUCCCGGUGUAGCGGUGAAAUGCGCAGAUAUCGGGAAGAACACCCGUGGCGAAGGCGGCUCUCUGGGACGGUACUGACGCUGAGACGCGAAAGCGUGGGGAGCGAACAGG
rnacentral:rRNA from 1 species